ACAAUGAAGAGUUUGAUCCUGGCUCAGGAUGAACGCUAGCUACAGGCUUAACACAUGCAAGUCGAGGGGCAUCAGGAAGAAAGCUUGCUUUCUUUGCUGGCGACCGGCGCACGGGUGAGUAACACGUAUCCAACCUGCCCUUUACUCGGGGAUAGCCUUUCGAAAGAAAGAUUAAUACCCGAUAGUAUAAUGAUUCCGCAUGGUUUCAUUAUUAAAGGAUUCCGGUAAAGGAUGGGGAUGCGUUCCAUUAGGUUGUUGGUGAGGUAACGGCUCACCAAGCCUUCGAUGGAUAGGGGUUCUGAGAGGAAGGUCCCCCACAUUGGAACUGAGACACGGUCCAAACUCCUACGGGAGGCAGCAGUGAGGAAUAUUGGUCAAUGGGCGCUAGCCUGAACCAGCCAAGUAGCGUGAAGGAUGAAGGCUCUAUGGGUCGUAAACUUCUUUUAUAUAAGAAUAAAGUGCAGUAUGUA
rnacentral:rRNA from 1 species